rnacentral:rRNA from 1 species
UACGUAGGUGGCAAGCGUUGUCCGGAUUUAUUGGGCGUAAAGAGCUCGUAGGUGGUUCGGUAAGUCGGAUGUGAAAUCUCCAGGCUCAACCUGGAGGGGUCAUUCGAUACUGCCGUGACUAGAGGUCGGUAGGGGAGUGUGGAAUUCCUGGUGGAGCGGUGAAAUGCGCAGAUAUCAGGAGGAACACCCGUAGCGAAGGCGGCAUUCUGGGCCGAUACUGACACUGAGGAGCGAAAGCGUGGGGAGCGAACAGG